rnacentral:rRNA from 1 species
CCUACGGGAGGCAGCAGUGGGGGAUAUUGCACAAUGGGGGGAACCCUGAUGCAGCGACGCCGCGUGAAUGAAGGAGUGCUUCGGCAUGUAAAGCUCUAUCGGCAGGGAAGAAGCAAGACGGUACCUGACUAAGAAGCCCCGGCUAACUACGUGCCAGCAGCCGCGGUAAUACGGAGGGGGCGAGCGUUAUCCGGAUUCACUGGGUGUAAAGGGAGCGUAGACGGCUAGGCAAGCCAGAGGUGAAAGCCCGGGGCCCAACCCCGGGACUGCCCUUGAAACUGUACGGCUAGAGUGCUGGAGGGGCAGGCGGAAUUCGUGGUGUAGCGGUGAAAUGCGUAGAUAUCAGGAGGAACACCGGCGGCGAAGGCGGCCUGCUGGACCGCGACUGACGUUGAGGCUCGAAAGCGUGGGGAGCGAACAGGAUUAGAUACCCUUGUAGUC